CCUACGGGCUGCAGCAGUGGGGAAUAUUGCACAAUGGGCGCAAGCCUGACGCAGCCAUGCCGCGUGUAUGAAGAAGGCCUUCGGGUUGUAAAGUACUUUCAGUCGGGAGGAAGGCGUUGAUGCUAAUAUCAUCAACGAUUGACGUUACCGACAGAAGAAGCACCGGCUAACUCCAUGCCAGCAGCCGCGGUAAUACGGAGGGUGCAAGCGUUAAUCGGAAUUACUGGGCGUAAAGCGCACGCAGGCGGUUGAUUAAGUUAGAUGUGAAAUCCCCGGGCUUAACCUGGGAAUGGCAUCUAAGACUGGUCAGCUAGAGUCUUGUAGAGGGGGGUAGAAUUCCAUGUGUAGCGGUGAAAUGCGUAGAGAUGUGAAGGAAUACCAGUGGCGAAGGCGGCCCCCUGGACAAAGACUGACGCUCAGGUGCGAAAGCGUGGGGAGCAAACAGGAUUAGAUACCCCCGUAGUC
rnacentral:rRNA from 1 species